CCGCCAUAUCACGUUGAAACGCAUGUUCUCGUACGAUCACCAAAGUUAAGCAACGUAGAGCCUGGUCUGUACUUAGAUGGGCAACCACUUGAGAAUACCACGUACUGUA